rnacentral:rRNA from 1 species
CCUUUGGGAAGGGGCCGAAGGUGAGUACGCGUGGGUAACCUGCCCUGUACACACGGAUAACAUACCGAAAGGUAUACUAAUACGGGAUAACAUACGAAAGUCGCAUGGCUUUUGUAUCAAAGCUCCGGCGGUACAGGAUGGACCCGCGUCUGAUUAGCUAGUUGGUAAGGUAAUGGCUUACCAAGGCAACGAUCAGUAGCCGACCUGAGAGGGUGAUCGGCCACACUGGAACUGAGACACGGUCCAGACUCCUACGGGAGGCAGCAGUGGGGAAUAUUGCACAAUGGGCGAAAGCCUGAUGCAGCAACGCCGCGUGAGCGAUGAAGGCCUUCGGGUCGUAAAGCUCUGUCCUCAAGGAAGAUAAUGACGGUACUUGAGGAGGAAGCCCCGGCUAACUACGUGCCAGCAGCCGCGGUAAUACGUAGGGGGCUAGCGUUAUCCGGAAUUACUGGGCGUAAAGGGUGCGUAGGUGGUUUUUUAAGUCAGAAGUGAAAGGCUACGGCUCAACCGUAGUAAGCUUUUGAAACUAGAGAACUUGAGUGCAGGAGAGGAGAGUAGAAUUCCUAGUGUAGCGGUGAAAUGCGUAGAUAUUAGGAGGAAUACCAGUAGCGAAGGCGGCUCUCUGGACUGUAACUGACACUGAGGCACGAAAGCGUGGGGAGCAAACAGGAUUAGAUACCCUGGUAGUCCACGCCGUAAACGAUGAGUACUAGGUGUCGGGGGUUACCCCCCUCGGUGCCGCAGCUAACGCAUUAAGUACUCCGCCUGGGAAGUACG